rnacentral:rRNA from 1 species
AGUGAACGCUAGCGGCAGGCCUAACACAUGCAAGUCGAGGGGUAACAUAGAGAAGCUUGCUUUUCUGAUGACGACCGGCGCACGGGUGAGUAACGCGUAUGCAACCUGCCUCUUACUGGAGGAUAGCCCUAAGAAAUUGGGAUUAAUACUUCGUAGUAUGUAUCAUUCGCAUGUUUGAUACAUUAAAGGUUACGGUAAGAGAUGGGCAUGCGUCCUAUUAGCUAGAUGGUAAGGUAACGGCUUACCAUGGCGACGAUAGGUAGGGGGCCUGAGAGGGUGAUCCCCACACUGGUACUGAGACACGGACCAGACUCCUACGGGAGGCAGCAGUGAGGAAUAUUGGACAAUGGGCGCAAGCCUGAUCCAGCCAUGCCGCGUGCAGGAAGAAUGCCCUAUGGGUUGUAAACUGCUUUUAUUUGGGAAUAAACCCCUCUACGUGUAGAGGGCUGAAUGUACCAAACGAAUAAGCACCGGCUAACUCCGUG